rnacentral:rRNA from 1 species
ACACAUGCAAGUCGAGCGGAAACGAGUUAUCUGAACCUUCGGGGGACGAUAACGGCGUCGAGCGGCGGACGGGUGAGUAAUGCCUAGGAAAUUGCCCUGAUGUGGGGGGAUAACCAUUGGAAACGAUGGCUAAUACCGCAUAAUGCCUACGGGCCAAAGAGGGGGACCUUCGGGCCUCUCGCGUCAGGAUAUGCCUAGGUGGGAUUAGCUAGUUGGUGAGGUAAUGGCUCACCAAGGCGACGAUCCCUAGCUGGUCUGAGAGGAUGAUCAGCCACACUGGAACUGAGACACGGUCCAGACUCCUACGGGAGGCAGCAGUGGGGAAUAUUGCACAAUGGGCGCAAGCCUGAUGCAGCCAUGCCGCGUGUGUGAAGAAGGCCUUCGGGUUGUAAAGCACUUUCAGUCGUGAGGAAGGUGGUGUAGUUAAUAGCUGCAUUAUUUGACGUUAGCGACAGAAGAAGCACCGGCUAACUCCGUGCCAGCAGCCGCGGUAAUACGGAGGGUGCGAGCGUUAAUCGGAAUUACUGGGCGUAAAGCGCAUGCAGGUGGUUUGUUAAGUCAGAUGUGAAAGCCCGGGGCUCAACCUCGGAAUAGCAUUUGAAACUGGCAGACUAGAGUACUGUAGAGGGGGGUAGAAUUUCAGGUGUAGCGGUGAAAUGCGUAGAGAUCUGAAGGAAUACCGGUGGCGAAGGCGGCCCCCUGGACAGAUACUGACACUCAGAUGCGAAAGCGUGGGGAGCAAACAGGAUUAGAUACCCUGGUAGUCCACGCCGUAAACGAUGUCUACUUGGAGGUUGUGGCCUUGAGCCGUGGCUUUCGGAGCUAACGCGUUAAGUAGACCGCCUGGGGAGUACGGUCGCAAGAUUAAAACUCAAAUGAAUUGACGGGGGCCCGCACAAGCGGUGGAGCAUGUGGUUUAAUUCGAUGCAACGCGAAGAACCUUACCUACUCUUGACAUCCAGAGAACUUUCCAGAGAUGGAUUGGUGCCUUCGGGAACUUUGAGACAGGUGCUGCAUGGCUGUCGUCAGCUCGUGUUGUGAAAUGUUGGGUUAAGUCCCGCAACGAGCGCAACCCUUAUCCUUGUUUGCCAGCGAGUAAUGUCGGGAACUCCAGGGAGACUGCCGGUGAUAAACCGGAGGAAGGUGGGGACGACGUCAAGUCAUCAUGGCCCUUACGAGUAGGGCUACACACGUGCUACAAUGGCGCAUACAGAGGGCAGCAAGCUAGCGAUAGUGAGCGAAUCCCAAAAAGUGCGUCGUAGUCCGGAUUGGAGUCUGCAACUCGACUCCAUGAAGUCGGAAUCGCUAGUAAUCGUGGAUCAGAAUGCCACGGUGAAUACGUUCCCGGGCCUUGUACACACCGCCCGUCACACCAUGGGAGUGGGCUGCAAAAGAAGUAGGUAGUUUAACCUUCGGGAGG